rnacentral:rRNA from 1 species
GAUGAACGCUAGCGAUAGGCUUAACACAUGCAAGUCGAGGGGCAGCACGUGAGGCAGCAAUGCUGAUGGUGGCGACCGGCGGAUGGGUGAGUAACACGUAUGCAACCUACCUCCAACACGGGCAUAACCCGGAGAAAUCCGGACUAAUUCCCGAUGACACAGGGGCCCCGCAUGGGGAUAUUUGUUAAAGUACAAUCGGUUGGAGAUGGGCAUGCGUUCCAUUAGUUAGUUGGUAAGGUAACGGCUUACCAAGACGUCGAUGGAUAGGGGAACUGAGAGGUUUAUCCCCCACACUGGGACUGAGACACGGCCCAGACUCCUACGGGAGGCAGCAGUGAGGAAUAUUGGUCAAUGAGCGAAAGCUUGAACCAGCCAAGUCGCGUGAAGGAUGAAUGCCCUACGGGUUGUAAACUUCUUUUCAAGGGAAUAAAGUGGGCCACGCGUGGCCUUUUGCAUGUACCUUGCGAAUAAGGAUCGGCUAACUCCGUG